rnacentral:rRNA from 1 species
UACCCUAUUAUAUUUAAGCCCAAAUCAGGUAGUAAUAUAAACAAACCCAUAUAAAUUGGCGGCAUUUAUUGUAUUAGAGGAACAUGUUUACUAAUCGACAAUACCCGAUAAAUUUUACUUAGUCCUAAAUUUUAUAUACCUCCGUUAUAAGAAUAAGCUAAAAACCACUAUUCUCAAUAACAUUAUAAUAAAUUAGGUAAAGGUGUAAAUCAUGCCUAAGACUAAAUGUGUUACAUUAAAAAGAAUUUAAAAAAUAAUUCUAAAAAGUUUAAUGAAAAGAAUUUAAUAGUAAGAUCUCAAUAAUAUUUUAAUUUGAAUAAGAAAAUAAAUGUGCACACAU